AUGUUGUUACGUGUAACCAACAAUAAAGAAUGUGUGCACGAUGGGAACAUGUACGCUGCGGAAGUUGGACGGGCGACCGCAGGAAGUGAACCUGUGUGUGACCCCGCCAUGUGUGGCCGGGGUAAGUUGGGUAAGGGGUCCUCGCUUUCGAAGAUUAGAAGUCGGGCAGCGCACCUCUACCGGCCGUGGUGUGUGUGUGUGUGUGUGUGUGUGUGUGUGUCUGUGGGUGUGUGUGUGGGGUCCUCACUGACUCGCCUGUUCCGACUGAAACAGGUCCGCGCUUCUCCAGGACGCGCCGCCGAGGUGAAGGCGGUUCGUUCUCAUCAAGUUCGUCAUCAAGCUUGAGAGGCGAAGAACGGAGGAAGGAAGGAAGGAAGGAAGGAGAUAAUGGAUGGAUGGAUAGAUAGAGGUAGGGAAGGUGAGUAAACCAAGCAUGGAUCCACCUGCCUCCAGUCCUUCUCUAUUCUCUAUCCCUGUUACUGGCUUGGUUGUGGAGGCUGGGCACUGCUUUCUGAUUGGUCGAUGGAGGUCGUAACCCCAUCCUGGGGAACGGAUUGUCUGUAAACCGAGCCCCUUAAAGGGCCGGCCUGCGUUUGAGAGCAAUUGCUGGCCCUUUAAAGGGAUCUGGACUAAGAUUGGGUUCUAAAGGUUGGUGCACGUUGGGUUCUCCACGAUGGGACUCCACGCUCCCAUUUCCGCACACCUGCCCUCCGCAACCUCGGCUUUGUUUCGGGCUCCGCCCCCACGCGGCCAGCCCUCCGACCGGCGCGUGGGUCCUUCCCUUGACCCGGGGCGGCUUCCACGUUGGCCAAAGAGCCCUCCCCCUUGGUUUGCACACACUUGCAACAAAAUGGCUGCUGCCUCCCUCACCCCCCACCACCACCACAACAACAGUGUCCUUUGUGCACAGGACAGCUCUUCAUCUCACCUGGUGCUUGACUGGCUCUCGUGGUCGUUCACGAUUAAAAAUCCAUCUCUCUCUCUCUCUCUCUGUGUGUGUGUGGUUUGAGACGUCCUACUUAUUGUGGUACUUUCGGUUGAACGGACGACGUGGAAAAACCAUUUCUAUUGCAGGCAAUAGGACGCUUAUUACUUGCAAUUUGUAACUCAUUGCCUUUUAUGUGAGAAGUGAAACUCUGCGUGAACCGUAGCCGUGCAUAAAAUGGCAAUGUCACGUCUGUGGCGAAAUGUAUCUGUUGCCUCUUUGCAUGCUGGGAAUUUGUCAUCGUUGCAUGCUGACGUUUAAAUUAAACCAGUGUUCCAAGUUCAACCGGCCCGGCUGUCUUCUUUAUUACACACACAUUUCCAACGCGAUGUUUUCAGGGG
rnacentral:lncRNA from 1 species